rnacentral:piRNA from 1 species
UGAGAUUCCAAAGUUGGUCCAGGAUGU